rnacentral:lncRNA from 1 species
GAGAGCUGCUCCUGUCUACUCCCCCAGCACCCAUCCUGUGGGGAAUCCUGUGUGGGCCCUUGCAGGUGUUCAGCGAGUCCGCUGGCAAGGUCUCCUAGGUUUUCUAACUCUAUGGUUGUCUCCCUUUGUGAUUUCUUUAUUGUUUCUACUUCCAUUUUUAGAUCUUGCAUGGUUUUGAUAAUUUCCUUCACAUGUUUGAUUGUGUUUUCCUGUACUUCAUGGGAUUUUUGUGUUUCCUCUUUAAGGGUUUCUAGCUGUUUUGCUGUGUUCCGCUAUACUUCAAGGGAGUUAUUUAUGUCCUUCUUAAGGUUUUCUAUCAUUGUCAUGAAAAGUGAUUUUAGAUUCAAAUCUUGCUUUUCUGAUGUGAUGAUGUAUCCAGGGCUUGCUCUAGUGGGAGAAUUAGGUUCUGAUGCUACCAAGUAACCUUGGUUUCUGUUGCUUAUGUUCUUAUGCUUGCCUUCCCUCCAUCUGGUUAUCUCUAGUGCUACCUACCCUGACUAUGUCUGACUGGAGCCUGUCCUUCCUGUGAUCCUGGUUGUGUCAGAACUACUCAGAGUUCAGCUGUCUCUGGGAUCCUGUGAUUAUGAAAUCCUGUGAUUCUGGGAUCCUGUGAUUGUGAGAUCCUGCAAUCCAGAGAAACGGUGAACCUGCAAUCCUGGGGUUGUUAGAGAGCCUGGUAGUGGAGCUUACUCUGGGUGUUGUGGGACUGGCUGUGGAGUUCAUGCUCAAGGUCUGCUCAGCGCAUGGGCUCAGACUGGAAGGAACCUGUGCCACUGGUCAGGUGGAGUUCCUGGGUGCCUGAAUCCUGCUGUUCCCAGUAAAUUCCAGUGUUGUGUUGUUAGUUUUCUAUGACCCAGAAGUGCACUAUGGGACCAUCUUACCUCUGUCUUACUUUUCUACGUGGGAAUUGAGAACAGUAAGGCUUCUUCCAAACCUGCUUCUCUUGUUUGUAAUACCAUGGUUUUCAUCUCAUUGUUUGUCAGUCUAUAUUAGAGUUGAAAUUAUUAAGCAGCUUGCAGGGAAGUGAAGAGAGCAGGCAGUGAUGCAGCUGACCUGGAGGUCAGGCCCUCUGAAAGUGUGACCCUCUUUGGUCACCUCAGGAGCCUCAGUAAAGGCAGCUUUACAUGGCUCUGUCACCUCCACAAAGAGUUGUGGUCUGCUGUCAGGAUCUUCUGAAAGGGGUGAGAAAAAUGACACAGACAACAGGACUGAAAUUGACAAAUUAAGCUUCUGGACCAUCCAAACAUCAUGAAGCUGCUCCACAUCAGAAAAUGCAUCUUUAUGGUAAUAGAAUGUACAGCAGAAAGAGAUGUUUUGAGCCACAGAAGGUUGACAGUUUUCAGGAGGAGCAGGCUCAGCACAUCCACACACAGUCUGUUUCCUGUGUCUCUCAAGAGAUGAAGGAGAAAAGGCCCAUCUCUGUGGGUGUUGAACCAUGGGAGCAGGGAGUAUUCUGACAAGGACUGAGAGGUUAAGGAAGGAGCCAGGCUCAAGCUUCAAGGGGACAUAUGCCUGACCACCCACCAGCCAACAAUGCAACUCUGGAUACAAGUGCCUGUGCCCUUCCUCCAGUUGCUGGAAUUUAGCUACUAGAUCUAUGCUCCAUCAGCUUCCAGGAGCUCCAACCAUGAUGUCCUGGUCAUGCUGGUCAAGAACGGUUCCCUCGUCCCAACCCCUGACUUGGGUUUGCAACAUGUUCUUGAACCUGGACCACCAGCACCAGCAGAUGCUGUAACAAAAUUCCUGAACAGGACGCAAGAGUGGUUCAGCUGAGCCUUGAGAGGUGAUUGUACCAUGGCACCUGUCCCCUGGAUGGGACAACUUGAGGAAGGGCCAUCCAUAUUCCUGUUCCCUACCCAGGACACUGCUAAUGUGCAUAUGAGGAGUAAGUCCACCACUAAGUCUCUAUCUCUGAAGGGCUUUCACUGUCCUGAAAUAG